GCCCGGAUGGCGGAAUUGGCAGACGCGACGGUCUCAAACACCGUUGGAGCAAUCCAUCCCGGUUCGAGCCCGGGUCCGGGCA
rnacentral:tRNA from 1 species